AAGCUAUCUUCGGAUGGUGGAGACCGGCAGACGGGUGAGUAACACGUGGGAACAUACCGAGUAGUGGGGGAUAACAGUUGGAAACGACUGCUAAUACCGCAUACGCCCUUCGGGGGAAAGAUUUAUCGCUAUUCGAUUGGCCCGCGUUAGAUUAGCUAGUUGGUAAGGUAACGGCUUACCAAGGCGACGAUCUAUAGCUGGUUUGAGAGGAUGAUCAGCCACACUGGGACUGAGACACGGCCCAGACUCCUACGGGAGGCAGCAGUGGGGAAUAUUGCGCAAUGGAGGAAACUCUGACGCAGCCAUGCCGCGUGAGUGAAGAAGGCCUUAGGGUUGUAAAGCUCUUUCAACGGUGAAGAUAAUGACGGUAACCGUAGAAGAAGCCCCGGCUAACUUCGUGCCAGCAGCCGCGGUAAUACGAAGGGGGCUAGCGUUGUUCGGAAUUACUGGGCGUAAAGCGUACGUAGGCGGAUUAGAAAGUUAGGGGUGAAAUCCCAGGGCUCAACCCUGGAACUGCCUCUAAAACUCCUAAUCUUGAGUUCGAGAGAGGUGAGUGGAAUUCCGAGUGUAGAGGUGAAAUUCGUAGAUAUUCGGAGGAACACCAGUG
rnacentral:rRNA from 1 species